rnacentral:rRNA from 1 species
UACAGAGGUCCCAAGCGUUGUUCGGAUUCAUUGGGCGUAAAGGGUGCGUAGGCGGCGCGGUAAGUCGGGUGUGAAAUCUCGGAGCUUAACUCCGAAACUGCAUUCGAUACUGCCGUGCUUGAGGACUGGAGAGGAGACUGGAAUUUACGGUGUAGCGGUGAAAUGCGUAGAUAUCGUAAGGAAGACCAGUGGCGAAGGCGGGUCUCUGGACAGUUCCUGACGCUGAGGCACGAAGUCCAGGGGAGCAAACGGG